rnacentral:lncRNA from 1 species
CAGUGCGAUAUAAAACUUGCCGAGGGCUCUGCCUGGUGGCUCUGGUCCCACAGGGGCCGUUGGCCCAGGCGGACGGACCCUGAGCUGAGGUAGCCCGCUGCUGGAGAGGCUGUUCGCCUGGGGCGGGCUCUUGUGGACCUUCCUCAAGCACCAGGCAGGGUCUGAAGCCCAUUUGAAGGUCAGGAGGCCCGAGGUGGUGGCGGUGGUCAAGCUGCUGAACGAGAAGGAGCAGGAGCUGCGGGAGACCAAGAGCUUGCUGCACGAUGAGGAUGAAAAUUUAAGGAAAUGUGCAGAGAAUGAAAUAACUUUGUGUCAAAAAGAAAUAACUCAGUUGAAGCAUCAGAAGAAACAGAUGAAAAUGAUCUGAUCCUGCAAGUAACUGCAGGAGUUGGAAGACAGGAGGCAAUGUUGUUUACUUCAGAGAUAUUUGAUAUGUGUCAGCAAUAAGCUGCAUUUAAAAGAUGGCAUUUUGAGACCCUGGAAUAUUUUCCAAGUGAAAUAGGUGGACUUAGACAUGUAUCUGCCAGUAUUGGGGGUUCAGAAGCCUAUAGGCACAUGAAAUUUGAAGGAGGUGUGCACAGAGUACAAAGAGUGCCAAAGACAGAAAAGCAAGGCUGCAUCCAUGCUAGCACCAUGACUGUAAGCAGUAUUGCCCCAACCUACUGAGAUUAAUCUGGUGACUAAUCCAAAAGAUUUGAGAAUCAACACUAAGCGAGCCAGUGGAGCUGCGGGGGCAGCAUGUAAAUACCAUGGACAGUGCUGUCCGGAUAGUUCAUCUUCCAACGGGUGUUUCUGAAUGCCAACAAGAGAGAUCUCACCCGAAAAAAUAAAGAGCUGGCUAUGAAAAAGUUAUGUGUAAAACUGUACAACAUGUAUCUAGAAGAAGAAAUGAAUAAAAGACACGAUGCUAGAAAAAUUCAGAUUGGAAGUAAAGGAAGAUCAGAGAAAAUAAGAACAUAUAAUUUUCCACAGAACCAGGUCACAGAUCACAGAAUAAGCAAGUCACUGCAUGAUCUUGAAACUGUUAUGCAAGGAGAUUAUCUACUGGAUGAACUUGUACAGUCAUUGAAGAAAUAUGCUGAUUAUGAAUCUUUAGUAGAAAUUAUUUCCCAAAAAGUUUAA